rnacentral:rRNA from 1 species
GUAGGCGGUUUGUCGCGUCUGCCGUGAAAGUCCGGGGCUUAACUCCGGAUCUGCGGUGGGUACGGGCAGACUUGAGUGAUGUAGGGGAGACUGGAAUUCCUGGUGUAGCGGUGAAAUGCGCAGAUAUCAGGAGGAACACCGAUGGCGAAGGCAGGUCUCUGGGCAUUAACUGACGCUGAGGAGCGAAAGCAUGGGGAGCGAACAGGAUUAGAUACCCUGGUAGUCCAUGCUGUAAACGUUGGGCACUAGGUGUGGGGGACAUUCCACGUUUUCCGCGCCGUAGCUAACGCAUUAAGUGCCCCGCCUGGGGAGUACGGCCGCAAGGCUAAAACUCAAAGGAAUUGACGGGGGCCCGCACAAGCGGCGGAGCAUGCGGAUUAAUUCGAUGCAACGCGAAGAACCUUACCAAGGCUUGACAUGAACCGGAACGGCGCAGAGAUGUGUCGGCCACUUGUGGCCGGUUUACAGGUGGUGCAUGGUUGUCGUCAGCUCGUGUCGUGAGAUGUUGGGUUAAGUCCCGCAACGAGCGCAACCCUCGUUCCAUGUUGCCAGCGGGUUAUGCCGGGGACUCAUGGGAGACUGCCGGGGUCAACUCGGAGGAAGGUGGGGACGACGUCAAAUCAUCAUGCCCCUUAUGUCUUGGGCUUCACGCAUGCUACAAUGGCCGGUACAAAGGGUUGCGAUGCUGUGAGGUGGAGCUAAUCCCAAAAAGCCGGUCUCAGUUCGGAUUGAGGUCUGCAACUCGACCUCAUGAAGUCGGAGU